UACGGGGGGGGCAAGCGUUGUUCGGAAUUACUGGGCGUAAAGCGCACGUAGGCGGAUAUUUAAGUCAGGGGUGAAAUCCCGGGGCUCAACCCCGGAACUGCCUUUGAUACUGGGUAUCUGGAGUAUGGAAGAGGUGAGUGGAAUUCCGAGUGUAGAGGUGAAAUUCGUAGAUAUUCGGAGGAACACCAGUGGCGAAGGCGGCUCACUGGUCCAUUACUGACGCUGAGGUGCGAAAGCGUGGGGAGCAAACAGG
rnacentral:rRNA from 1 species